CGUCCACGUGUUGCUCGGAGACUUGGGUUGAUCUGAAACGUUUUCGCUGGCGGAGCAAAACUGACAAAGUCACCUGGAACAAUUUGGGUCUAAAAUUUUGUCCAUGAGAGAGGGGGUGAAAAGCGAAGCGCGGCCCAUGAGAAUGCUGACAGUACGACUGUCACACAGCUCUGUCCAGCGCAGCUCCAGUUGUUUCAGCAGGGCUGUGAAUCAAGCUUUGUCAAGCAUGUGUAUCCCACCCUCGUUUUCGCUGAAAGGCUACCCAGUCCACCAGGUAGGCCAGGU